AUGCGCGCGCCCGGGCGGCGCGGGAUCUGGGUCUGGGGAUGUGGUACCGGCUGCUGGCGGCGGCCGGCAGUAGAGCGGUGGCCAGGCCGCUGGCCUUGCUGUGGCGAUGUGGUGGCCCAGGAGGCGGCAGGACGGCCAAGACCAGCGCGAGGGCCCUGGGCAAGGCCCGACAGUGGUUAUGGCCAGUGAGAAUGUGCGGUGUUGCAUUGCAGAAGAAGCUAGGAAAGCUCAUCUGGCCUCCUGUUCCAGUGCUUCCAGGGGAUCCACGUUCAGAAGCUGACUCUGCAGGCAAGACCGACGUUAUUUUCCUGGUGGCUGUGUUCAAAACCACCCAAAGAGACUGGUGAACUAGAGAAUGCUGAGUCUGGAGGAGACGGAGGCAGGAGAGGAGGGAAGCAGGAUAACGUUGCCUGGUGGAGGCGGAUGCAGAAGGGGGGACUUCCCCUGGGAUGACGAGGAUUUCCGCAGUCUGGCCCUUUUGGGGGCAGGCGUUGCCAUGGGAUUUUUCUACCUCUAUUUUCGAGAUCCUGGAAGAGAAAUCACGUGGAAGCACUUUGUACAGUAUUACCUGGCCAGAGGUCUGGUGGACCGGCUGGAAGUCGUGAACAAACAAUCUGUGCGUGUUAUUCCUGCCCCUGGGACCUCUUCUGAAACGUAGCUGGGUGCGAAGAAUCAAAUUGGAAAUUAUGGAAUUUGUGAAUUUCCUGAAGAAUCCCAAGCAGUAUCAGGACUUAGGAGCAAAAAUUCCAAAGGGAGCCAUGCUCACUGGUCCUCCUGGUACCGGCAAGACCCUUCUUGCCAAAGCAACUGCAGGGGAGGCCACUGUGCCCUUCAUCACUGUGAACGGGUCUGAGUUCCUGGAAAUGUUUAUUGGCGUUGGGCCAGCAAGGGGUUCAACUCUGCCACCAACGUCGUGGUGUUGGCUGGCACCAACCGCCCUGACGUCCUGGACCCGGCCCUCAUGCGGCCUGGCCGGUUUCAUCGCCAGAUUUACACUGGUCCCCCUUACAUUAAAGGCAGGUCCUCCAUCUUUAAGGUCCACCUGCGCCCACUGAAGCUGGACAAGAGCCUCAAUAAGGACACCCUGGCGAGGAAGCUGGCAGUGCUCACCCCAGGCUUCCCUGACGGGGAUGACUCAGCACUACCCCUCAACAGAGAUGACUUUGAUGACUCUGCCCCUCAGCAGGGCUUACUAAGCACUACCCCUUAACAGGGAUGACUCCGCACUGCCCCUCAACAGGGAUGACUCAGCAGAGAUGACUCAGCACUGUCCCUUAGCAGGGAUGACACAGCAAGGAUGACUCAGCACUGCCCCUCAGCAAGGAUGACUCAGCACUGCCGCUCAACAGACAUGACUCAGGGAUGGCUUAGUACUGCCCCUCAGCAGGGAUGACUCAGCACCGCCUCUCAACAGGGAUGACUCAGCAGGGAUGACUCAGCACCGCCCCUCAACAGGCAUGACUCUGCAGAGAUGACUCAGCACUGUCCCUUAGCAGGGAUGACACAGCAAGGAUGACUCAGCACUGCCCCUCAGCAAGGAUGACUCAGCACUGCCGCUCAACAGGGAUGACUCAGGGAUGGCUUAGUACUGCCCCUCAACAGGGAUGACUCAGCAGGGAUGACUCAGCACCGCCCCUCAACAGGCAUGACUCUGCAGAGAUGACUUAGUACUGCCCCUCAGCAGGGAUGACUCAGUACUGCCCCUCAGCAGGGAUGACUCAGCACUGCCCCUCAACAGGGAUGACUCAGCAGGGAUGACUCAGCACUGUCCCUUAGCAGUGAUGACACAGCAAGGAUGACUCAGCACUGCCCCUCAGCAAGGAUGACUCAGCACUGCCGCUCAACAGACAUGACUCAGGGAUGGCUUAGUACUGCCCCUCAGCAGGGAUGACUCAGCACCGCCCCUCAACAGGGAUGACUCAGCACUGCCCCUCAACAGGGAUGACUCAGCAGGGAUGACUCAGCAGUGUCCCUUAGCAGCGAUGACACAGCAAGGAUGACUCAGCACUGCCCCUCACCAAGGAUGACUCAGCACUGCCGCUCAACAGACAUGACUCAGGGAUGGCUUAGUACUGCCCCUCAGCAGGGAUGACUCAGCAGGGAUGACUCAGCACCACCCCUCAACAGGGAUGACUCAGCAGGGAUGACUCAGCACUGCCCCUCAACAGGGAUGACUGCAGGGAUGACUCAGCACUGCCCCUCAGCAGGGAUGACUCAGCACUGCCCCUCAGCAGGGAUGACUCAGCAGGGAUGACUCAGCACCGCCCCUCAACAGGCAUGACUCUGCAGAGAUGACUCAGCACUGCCCCUCAGCAGGGAUGGCUCAGCAGGGAUGACUCAGCAUUGCCCCUCAACAGGGAUGACUCAGCAGACUCAGCAGGGAUGACUCAGCACUGCCCCUCAACAGACAUGACUCAGCAGGGAUGACUCAGCACCGCCCCUCAGCAAGGAUGACUCAGCAGGGAUGAUUCAGCAGAGAUAACUCGGGGAUGACUCUGAUUGUCCUUCAGCAGGGAUGAGUCUGUUUUGCUCCGAUGGAAGCAUCUGUAGUGUCCAUCAGCAGGUGAAUGGCCAAAGUGGUAUAUACUGUAGUCACAUUCAGCUAUAAAAAGGAAUAAAGUAUCGAUGCAUGCCACAACAUGGGUGAACCUAGAAAAUACUGAUCUAAAUGCAAGAAGCCAGGCACAAAAGGCCACAUAGUAUAUGUUCCCAUUUAUGUGAAAUGUGCAGAAUAAUAAUAAAAAUGUAUAGAAUAGCAAAUCUGUAGGGACAGACAUGAGGUGAGUGGUUGCCAGAAGUGGAAAUGGGAGUUAACUAUAAAUUGCACAGGGUACCUUACAGAGAUGAUGGAAAUGUCCUAAAACUAGAUUAUGGCAAUAGUUGCACUACGUGAUCAGUUUAUUAAAAAUCGUUGAUGUGUGUGUGUAAAAUGGGUGGAUUUUAUGGUUUAUAAAUUAUACCUUAAUAAAGGUUAACAAAAAAUGUG
ensembl:lncRNA AFG3L1P AFG3 like matrix AAA peptidase subunit 1, pseudogene